rnacentral:sRNA from 1 species
GUUUAGUUAAGUUCUUUUUUUUUUGGUUUUUCCUUUUUUUCUUUGAAAGGUUUGAUUAGCAGUUUUGUCCGGACAGACCAAGUAUAUAUA